rnacentral:rRNA from 1 species
UACGUAGGUGACAAGCGUUGUCCGGAUUUACUGGGCGUAAAGAGCGCGCAGGCGGUCGUUCAAGUCGAGUGUGAAAGCCCCCGGCUCAACUGGGGAGGGUCACUCGAUACUGAUCGACUCGAAGGCAGGAGAGGGUAGUGGAGUUCCCGGUGUAGUGGUGAAAUGCGUAGAUAUCGGGAGGAACACCAGUGGCGAAGGCGACUACCUGGCCUGUUCUUGACGCUGAGGCGCGAAAGCUAGGGGAGCAAACGGG